CCACCCUCCCCCAUCCUGUCAUCCUAUGGCAGCCCCUCCUGUUAUUAUUUAAUAGCCCUGGCUGGCACCUGCCCCCCAACUGGAGUUCAUCAGUGUUGAAAUCUGAUAGAAGCCCAUCCAUUUUUUUGCUUUUCUCAACCCCCAGGCCCCUCUCUGACCCCAAGGCAUCUCCCCAAGAUGACCACAGUUGUCCCUGAAGAAGCAGUCACAGCAAGCUCACUUCACAGGAACCAAGCUGUGGGCUGAUCCUACAGACUUGAAAAGACAACUCAAAAAGAUUGUCUGUGGGGUCAGAAACAGCUCUGGAGGGGUCUGCAGAAAUUACUUUCCCAAGUCUUUGGGCUGGAAGGAACGAACAGUGCCUGACCAAGGACUUUGAGCAGGAGAGAGAUGGGAGCAGAGAGGAGCCAAGGUCUACUAUUUUCACUUCUGUCAAUUAGAUCAAAGCCCUGCCCAGAAGCUUUGAGCGCCGCUGUCAAGUCCCAUUCCUCCCCUAAACCAUCCAGGUUCCAUCUGCCUUGAAGCCAAAGGAUCUUCUUAGAUUCCUCAAGAAAAAUUCAGGCCCCGAGUUUCUCCACCAGCACUCUCCUCUCCCCGAAGGAGUGGGUGGGCUGCAUUUCUCUUCAUAUUCUAUUCCAUUCCAGACCGUCUUGGACUACCAGCCUGUCCGCCACCCCUCGGGGCCCUCCCUCCUACUCUGCCCUUGCCCGCUGAGGUCCCAAGCUGAGGAGAUGAGCCGAGCAGUAAAAAGAGAGGAGGUUUGGAAAAGCAAUGUCCUCUCAGUCUUUAAUAGGUGGCCCCCCUGGGAACCUGCUGGAAGUGGAAGUUAAUAAGCUGAAGGUGGUCACAACCAAUCUCUGCCACACUCGCACCCUACCCCACCCCAAAUCAUUCCUUUUAAUUAAUAGUGGAAGACCUUUUUAAAAAUGUAACAUGAAUUGGCUAUUUCUUGAGGCAAACAAAAGGUGGCUCUGAAGCGAUAUAUUUGUACUCGUAUAAAUUCAUUAAAAU
rnacentral:lncRNA from 1 species